GACGAACCGUCCAAACGUUGUUCGGAAUCACUGGGCUUAAAGGGCGCGUAGGCGGGCUAUCAAGUCCGGGGUGAAAUCCUCCAGCUCAACUGGAGAACGGCCUCGGAUACUGAUGGUCUCGAGGGGGGUAGGGGCACGCGGAACUGUGGGUGGAGCGGUGAAAUGCGUUGAUAUCCAUAGGAACUCCGGUGGCGAAGGCGGCGUGCUGGACCUCUUCUGACGCUGAGGCGCGAAAGCCAGGGGAGCAAACGGG
rnacentral:rRNA from 1 species